CACGAACGUUUCAAAUCAUCCCUUCGCUUGCUUUCACCUCUCCCAUCUGGUUAAUCUAGCGGAAGAGGCACCCGUCACUUCAGCUCAGGCAUUCGCAUCAGAGUGAAACUUAUCUGCAGGAGUGAUCUUUAAUGUUUGCAUUAUCUACUUUUUUUUAUUUCUCCUUCGGGAAACUACACGUGUCACUGACGCGUUCUGUCUGACACCGCUUCGUUCACAACUCUCCCACGCAAACGGCUCGGCAAAAGACAUUCGCUCUGUACUUAUAUACAAUCUUUCAGGUUUUUUCCUCCUGAACCUCUCUGAUGGGGCCUCAUUAAUCAUUCCACUGCUCUUUCUUCACAUGGGAAGCAGUUCUCCAUUUUUUUUCUUCUUCCCCAACCACACCCCCUUUUUUCUGACAUGCUCACAUUUUUACUUAACAUCCAUGAAGCCCAACCCAUGUGCAUGGGUGUGGACAGAUGCCUAAAGCCAGUUUGCUCCAGUUUCUCAAACCAGAAGCACAUUCUUAUAAUUGCCUGUAUAGCAUGUAGGUGAGUACCAUGGCUUGGACCUACCAUCACCGCACUUUCCGAUCACAUGUCGGAGAAAUUGUCAGAAUAGGUGAU